rnacentral:rRNA from 1 species
UACAGAGGGUGCGAGCGUUGUCCGGAAUCACUGGGCGUAAAGGGCGCGUAGGUGGUGACCUAAGCGUGCGGUGAAAGCCCGAGGCUCAACCUCGGGUCGGCCGUGCGAACUGGGUCACUGGAGCAGAAUAGAGGCAGGUGGAAUUCCGGGUGUAGCGGUGGAAUGCGUAGAGAUCCGGAAGAACACCGGUGGCGAAAGCGUUCUGCUAGACCUGUACUGACACUGAGGGACGAAAGCUAGGGGAGCGAAUGGG